CAUAAAAUAAAAAUGAGAAAACUAAAAGCAUGAAAAAACAUUUAAUGACAUGACUGAUCCUAACUAAUUUAAACAAUUACGCUUAAGCUUUUUUUUAAAUGGAUGUUAUCAGGAAUCCACUAAACCAGCUUUUAUGAAACGUCAUAACUGAAUGUACCCGUUAGAGAAGCCUACUUAUUGAUCAUCCCAUUAUAUCAGUCCCUUACGUGUUAAUGGGUUUUCCCAUAAUUCAGUCACCGUUUUCAGUAGUAUUAAAGAAAUUCGGUGUAUUUUUUUGUGAAAUUAAAAAUCAGAAGCAGUGUUUUGUUUGGCGUUCGGUCAUUCUACAAAAAGUGAGGCGUCAUAAAGAUAAUGGCUUAUUUAGGACUUCUGUGCACUGGAACUGUCGCGGUUAACUGCAAUUGGCGUGAGUUAGCGGCCGCAGCUUUGAUAGCGGGAAUGGUGAAUGCGACAGUGAUUGGCACUGUAGUUUUUGGAUACAUCGCCAUUAAAGUGUGUGUCAUUGUCGUUGGAGCCAUAGCCGGGGCAAACAAAUAAUCAAGAAAUUGUUAAGGGGCAGUUCAUAAAUGUAUAUACAAUUUAUGUCAUCUACACAUCUGGUAUCAUGGAAUAGAGACAAUAAAAUGAUGAGGCACAUCUCAUGAGUAUUUAGAAGAGAAAAAAAAAGUGUUUAGCCCAAUAGAGAAAGGUCAUUUAUAAUAUUAAUACUUAAUACUUAAUAAAAUUAAUGUUCAGAGUUGUAACUGUGUAAGGCACUAAAUUCUUUCUAUUACAUAAAAAACAGAUAAUGCAUUAUGAGAGAGAGAGAGAGAGAGAGAGAGAGAAAGAGAGAGAGAAGUGAAAGAUAUAUAUGGCUAUGAAAAUAUUUUAUAUAAUCUUAUCUUUGAUAUUAUUAGUUUUAGUUUUAACUUUCAUUUUUUUUUUAUAAAUGUUAUUUUAUAAAAGUUAAAUAACUGUUUUUUUUUUUUUUGUUAUUUAGAAAUUUCUAAUAAGAAUAUGCUUACGGGAUUUCAAGUAAUAAGGUGCUUAAGUUGUAGAUGUAGACUGCUUAUUCAAUCUAACCUGUAUUGAAAAUCGUAUUUAUAGUAUAUAUCAACAUAAUAAUAAUAUAAUAAAUAAAGGUAUUAGACUGUAAAUUGUAAACCACCUUUUUCAGUUACUUUACAUCUGAUUUUGAGACUAUAUGCCUUGAUUUCAUUUAUGGGAUGAUAUUUGUUUUUACAUGAACGUAUGAAUAUAUAUAGUUUUGUACAUUUAAUACGUUAAUUCGUAGAGCUAUAUAUAUAGACUGGACCAAAUUAUACAUUAUUCAAGCACAAAGCUUUUUAUUAUACAUCAAUUACCAGCAGUAUAAAAAUAGCCAUAGCCUUUAAUGAUAUAAGUGCAUUAAUUGAUACACUUUUUUCUGUAUUGUGAAUCAAAGUGUUGCUGUUAUGGCAGGCCAUUAUGAUCAUUUUUGUUUAAAAUUUUAUUUUUCUAAGUUUAGCUUAUUUGGACGUUCUGAUGAAAACAAGUCUAAAAAACAAAUUGUAUUAAUUUAAAGCGAUGAAACAUCGGCCAUCGAUCUAAAUGUAGAUCGAGUGCAAAAAUAUAAUUUCAAAAUUGAAGAUCAUAUUUUUUGUACGCAUUAAAAUGUGUUUUUCAGCAAACGAGAACUCUUCCUGUUGUCCAGUCUAUUUAUUUCUUUGCCUAUAAAUAAAACAUUUUAUAAAAUGUAAAA